AAAAUAAGUGAUCAGGAAGCUAAAAUAGUGGAUCUCAAUUGGCAAGUACGACAUGAGCUGACAAGAAAUGAAGGCAUUGAAAAGAAUCUUGAAAUGAUUCCAAAAUUGAAGGACACGAUAAAGGAGAAAACCAAGGAAGUGGAAGUCUUGAAAGAAGAAGUCCAGGACAAAACAGCGCUGCUUGCUGUGGCUCGGAAAUCGGCCCGGGAAUACAAGGACCAGAUCAGGGCAAUGGAGCACAAGAUUGAAAAGGCAGAGAAGAUGGAGGCAGAGUUAGAGAUGGCUCAGUGUGAGGUGCAGACCCUGAAGAAACUUCUGCAGGGCAAGGAUCAGCUGGUCAUACAGAAGUCCAGGGCCCUCGAUGUGGCCAAGGAUGUGAUAGAGACAAUGAACAUGUCUACAGAGCCUGAGCAGAUAGACAAAAUUGUGGUACUCCUGGAGAAGAUGGGUGCCACCUCCAAGGUGUCCUCUAAUGGCAGUGUAUGUGAAUCUUCCAGUGGGGAGUCAGACAGCAGGAAUAAUAAGAUACACUGUACACAAACAAAAUCAUCCAGAACCAAGGAUAUUGAUGUAAAUAGAAAUCCGUACUCAAUGGAUGAAAACAAUGUCAAAAAUCACAGACGACCCUUAUCCGGGGGAGGGUUUCUGGACAAUGUGUUAAAGGAUCAGGACUCCCACACCCGACCAAGAACAGCAGUGGUGAGACCAGUCAAACGGAGUCAGUCAUACAGAGACGCGCUUCCGAACAAAUUCACACUGCAAAUCAACGGACAUCAGAGGCCACAGUCUAGUAGUGAUCACAGACACUCAACUGAGAAAAAGACUAACGCAAAGUACCAGCCUACUGUAGAUUAUAUUAUUGGUAUUCAAGACAAAACUACUCUAAACUCAGGAUCUCGCCCGAGGAGUGUGUCUCCAAGGUCACCUUCAUGGGGCUCGACCAAAAGUAGGUCGGAGAACUCAAACUCGCUGAGUCUUCAGUCUGUCAAUUCCUCCGAUAGCUCUGACUCGGAGGAUAACUCGACAAGAACUGUGGAGGUGCUAUCUAAACUCCGAGCCAAGGAAAGGGAGGAAAUUCUUGUUCGUUACGUUGAUGUGGGGGAUCGGAUUGUUAUCGCUGUACCGCAGAAACCACCCAGAUAUGGCAGAAAAAUUGCCCCCAAACCCAAAAUCUACACAGGAAUCGUGAAAUACAGAGGCCCGUUGGAGCAAAAGUAUAAUUCCAGAAUUUAUGUUGGAGUUCGAUUAGAUGAACCAGAUGGAGACACGGACGGAACACACAAAGGGAAGCGAUACAUGUAUACACCCUCCGAUCUAGGGAAAUUCUUUAAGCUCAUUGAUUUGACCUCAGUACUGGACCCAAAGAAGGGGAAAUACAAAGUAGUCACCUCAAUCCUGGCUCAUCACUUAGAGAAAGGAGAGAAAGAAAUGUCUGCCAGUGGAUAAAGUAUGCCAGUGGAUGAAGUAUUUUACUGGAUAAAGUAAUAUUCCUCUGGAUAAAGUAUCCCAGUGGAUGAAAUAUACCGGUAUUAUUGGACAAAGUAAAAUUCUUCUGGAUAAAGUAUCCCAGUGGAUAAAAUAUUUUACUGGAUAAAGUAAUAUUCCUCUGGAUAAAGUAUCCCAGUGGAUGAAAUAUCUCUGAAUAAAAUAUCCCAGUGGAUGAAAUCUCCCUCUGGAUAAAAGUAUUCCUCUGGAUAAUUAAGGUAUCACAGUGGAUAGCGUAUCUCAAUGGAUGAAAGUUCCCUCUGGACAAAAUAUCGUUGUGCAUUUCUCUGAGAAUUGUUGACCCUUGUUACAAAAUGUUAUUGCAUUAGUUGGUGCAUUUGCCUUGAUAGAUAAAUGGGGCAGUGUUUGGGUUGCAUGGAUUGAUAAAAGUUAUUUUCUGGGUUUCACCUGUUGCAUGGUGCAAUUGUCAGCACUAAGUACUAUACAAUGUUACACAUUGAAUUCCCCUCUAAUUAUUAUUUCCAUGUAUUUUAAUGCAUAUUGCACUUUAAAAAUAGUUAUGAUGCCACUUUACUGUAUUAUAUCCAUUAGAAAUAUGUAUUGGAUAGUUAAAUAUAAAGCAGAUCUGUGAUAUUAUUUAAAUAUUUAUACACUGUCAGUCAUUUGAAUUAUUUAUCGCGUAACAAAAUUCAUGUCAUUUAUGAUUAUUAAACUACAAUGCUAAAUCAU
rnacentral:misc_RNA from 1 species